AAUGGCCUGUUGGUGGGAUACCAGGCUAGAAACCUGGAGGCCGCUGGUUCGAGCCCGGUA
rnacentral:tRNA from 1 species